UACGUAGGGUGCGAGCGUUAAUCGGAAUUACUGGGCGUAAAGCGCGCGCAGGCGGUUUAUGCAAGACAGAUGUGAAAUCCCCGGGCUACAACCUGGGAACUGCAUUUGUGACUGCAUGACUAGAGUACGGUAGAGGGGGAUGGAAUUCCGCGUGUAGCAGUGAAAUGCGUAGAUAUGCGGAGGAACACCGAUGGCGAAGGCAAUCCCCUGGACCUGUACUGACGCUCAUGCACGAAAGCGUGGGGAGCAAACAGG
rnacentral:rRNA from 1 species